UACGGAGGGAGCUAGCGUUGUUCGGAAUUACUGGGCGUAAAGCGCACGUAGGCGGUUACUCAAGUCAGAGGUGAAAGCCCGGGGCUCAACCCCGGAACUGCCUUUGAAACUAGGUAACUAGAAUCCUGGAGAGGUGAGUGGAAUUCCGAGUGUAGAGGUGAAAUUCGUAGAUAUUCGGAAGAACACCAGUGGCGAAGGCGGCUCACUGGACAGGUAUUGACGCUGAGGUGCGAAAGCGUGGGGAGCAAAC
rnacentral:rRNA from 1 species